CUCAGACGUUUUACUGUUUCCGUGUUUUAGUGAAUUAAUCGUCCGCCCUCCGUAUCUCCGCUUACCCACAUCUUCCUCUCCCAAAAACUAUCUUCACGGGGGGGAAAAUAGGAAAAAGAAUACAACGGGGUCGAAACGAGGAGUCUACGGAAACGUUACCUGAAGGAGAGAAAGAGAGGAUCUCUUUACACAGUGACCAUGACCAUCGCAGCUGGCCACCCAGUGCCUUCUGCCCUUCACCCACUAAAAGCCCCCAAGAGAUUCACACUGGCAGCAGAUCACAGAGGCCGGGCCUUUCGGCUGGAUUUUGGAGUUGCAGCAGUUCCACACCCUUCCGGUGCUACUUUUACUGGGUUGUACGGCACCCGAUUCUCAUUGGAUAAAUUUUGUGCAUUGAAGCAAAACGUGUUUGAUCUUUUUUUUUUUUUUCUGGUCUCUGUGCACAUCUUGGGACAGCAGGGUCUGAACAGGAGAAGUCACUAAGUGGAGAUAAAUCACGGCUCUGAGCCAGCAGGAGGUCAUUUGGACACCAAAGGUUUUAUCCUGAAAUUAGAACCAUAAUUUUUAAGAGAGUGGCUUAGCUUCAUAAUGUCCCACACCCGAGAGAGAAAGCAUUCACAUUUUUCAAACUAUUAAUCUCAAAGGAAGCACAUUUUUAACUAAAGUUAAUGCACAACAAAAUUCAAAUGAAGGGUGUUUUAUUGAGAGUAUUAAGUACGGUUGAUGUGUAUAUCUAAUAUGUUAAACAUAAUCAACUGGGCACAAACUGGUUUCCCCAAGUAACCCAGUAGGCUAAUUGAGAAGAACUGUGUCUCUCAGAUAUAGCCAGUUUAUUGUAACACAUUCUUAUACAUAAAUAUUACACCCUUCACUUGAAACAGGUCUGAGGAUUUGAUAAUAAAGCUGUUGGUAAUAUAUCACUAUUUAGAUAUUUUCCACAAUUUGUAGCCCUUGAGGACAAGGCAAUGAUUUGAACCAAUAAAGAAAUGGGUUGAAUUGAACUAAAA